rnacentral:antisense_RNA from 1 species
AAUCACGCAUGUAUGCACACCACGCACGUACGCGGGAGGCACGUACUCAGCCAGGCAUAUAGACAGCAAACAUUAUGAAUCUCGCAUUCUCGAAGACACGCACUGACGACAUCACGCACGUACGCACGCCCUGGCUGCUAGGAACGCUAUUCUCUUUACCUGGCCCUGAUGCGCGCCAGCCAACCAGGCCAAGGCCAGGGGACCUCGAGACCGGCAGCCUCGACGAAGAACCGGAAGGAGGAAGAGGAACGGGAAGGAGGAAGAUCUCCCGCAUUGACUUCAUAACCAAGUUCUGGGUCCCUGCCACUGGAGUGCCUGAUGAGACAAAACGGCUCCUCGUCCUGCAUCCCCGCUGCUACUUCCAGAAUUCAGGCCUCGUGGCCUGGAGCCUGCACUGUUCCAUGAGCCCCCUGACCAACCUGGAGGCCUCUGUCUUUCUUCCCUCGGUGAGAUGCGCCUACUUCUCCCUGGAGAAGCUCGAGGAAGCAGAAAUGCUGGAGAUGAGUGGGGUGCAAUGCGCACGUAGGUGCACACUCUCCCUGGGCGGCAGCGAGCAGCAGAGGUCUGAUCUGUGGUCGGAUGAGGAGAGGAAGUGCAAGUAAAGCAGCUGCAGCG